GGGGGUUUAGCUCAGUGGUAGAGCGCUUGCCUAGCAAGCACAAGACCCUGGGUUCGGUCCCCAGCUCCG
rnacentral:tRNA from 1 species